UACGAAGGGUGCAAGCGUUAAUCGGAAUUACUGGGCGUAAAGAGCUCGUAGGCGGUUUGUCGCGUCUGCUGUGAAAACUGGGGGCUCAACCCCCAGCCUGCAGUGGGUACGGGCAGACUAGAGUGCGGUAGGGGAGAUUGGAAUUCCUGGUGUAGCGGUGGAAUGCGCAGAUAUCAGGAGGAACACCGAUGGCGAAGGCAGAUCUCUGGGCCGUAACUGACGCUGAGGAGCGAAAGCAUGGGGAGCGAACAGG
rnacentral:rRNA from 1 species